UGCAGUCACGGCAGCACAGUAGGUAGCAAUACCUAUGGGUGGCGAGUGGCGGACGGGUGAGUAAUGCUUAGGAAUCUGCCCAAUGGUGGGGGAUAACUAACCGAAAGGUUAGCUAAUACCGCAUACGCCUUUACGGGGAAAGCGGGGGAUCGAAAGACCUCGCGCCGAUGGAUGAGCCUAAGUCCGAUUAGCUAGUUGGUAGGGUAAAAGCCUACCAAGGCGACGAUCGGUAGCUGGUCUGAGAGGACGGCCAGCCACACUGGAACUGAGACACGGUCCAGACUCCCACGGGAGGCAGCAGUGGGGAAUAUUGGACAAUGGGGGCAACCCUGAUCCAGCAAUGCCGCGUGUGUGAAGAAGGCCUGCGGGUUGUAAAGCACUUUCGGUUGGGAAGAAAAGUUUGGCGCUAACAUCGCCGAACCUUGACGUUACUGACAGAAGAAGCACCGGCUAACUCUGUGCCAGCAGCCGCGGUAAUACAGAGGGUGCAAGCGUUAAUCGGAAUCACUGGGCGUAAAGCGUGCGUAGGUGGUCAUGCAAGUCGGGUGUGAAAUCCCCGGGCUUAACCUGGGAACUGCAUUCGAUACUACAUGGCUAGAGUAUGGUAGAGGGAAGUGGAAUUUCCGGUGUAGCGGUGAAAUGCGUAGAUAUCGGAAGGAACACCAAUGGCGAAGGCAGCUUCCUGGACCAAUACUGACACUGAGGUACGAAAGCGUGGGUAGCAAACAGAUUAGAUACCCUGUAGUCCACGCCCUAAACGAUGAGAACUAGCCGUGGGGGGAAUUAAAUCUCCUAGUGGCGCAGCUAACGCGUUAAGUUCUCCGCCUGGGGAGUACGGCCGCAAGGUUAAAACUCAAAGAAUUGAGGGGGCCCGC
rnacentral:rRNA from 1 species